CCAAAGCUAGUAAUAUGGCCCUGCCACUUCCACGGGGGCAGAUAAAUGCAAUAUGACAUGCCCAGGAGAAGAGCUGAAAAUAAUUGGUGGACAGCACUAAUGAUUUCAACAUUAGGUAAAAAAAAUUUUUUUUUCAUUUAUGCCUUCCUAAUGUAAUUCAGACUGAAGCACAUGUGUUUGUCUUUUAAAUUUUUUAAAAAAUUAUUAUUUAGGAACAUCAUUGGAGGAAAACCUUUAGGAUUCACUCCUUCUAGGUAUCUUGCAAUCUAUAAAAGAAAAGGCAGAAAUAAUGCCACAUACAUGCCUCCUAUGCUGUUUGCAGUUAAUAGACAUUUUAGAUGAUAAGAAAAAAAAACAACACUGUAAAAUAAAGAGCGGAAACCUUGGUUCUUAAAAAUGAGAGAAAAGUGAAACAUUCCCAUGUAAUGCCAAUACACUGCCUAGUUGUAGCAUUGCCUGAAAUUGUUGCUUUUCUAAUAAACAUGUCUGAAAUAUAGUUUUGUCUUUGUACUUUCAGUUUCCUUGUGAUAGAAAUAUGUGUACCUUGAUAUACCCCAUGCCAUUGAAGUGAAUUAAACUGUCAGAAAACCUGAGGAAUAGAAGAGAAUUAGAGCAAGAUUAAGCUAUUUUCCCCCUCUUGUUCUCCCACGUGAGAACAGUCCCUUCAUUUUGAACCCAGUCAUCACAGUAUAGGAAGUAAAUCAGAAUCGCGGCUAAAAUUAGAUCUUACUAAUCUGGAGCUGUAAAUUUAUGUCUCGAGCGUUCUGUUUAAAGUUUCCACAGAGAGUUACUGCAAAGAGUUUCUGCAGGGCUGUCUUCCUGCCCUGCAAAAAUAGCAACUAAAAGUAAAUAUGAUAAAGACAUGACAUUCAAUUAUGCGAAAGUAGUCUGAAGGUCUUGAUGCUAUAAAAAACAACAACUACUUGCUAAAGUAUAUUAUUUAAUUUAGAUAGUUUAUGAAAGAAUAACGAAAAUACCAUUUGACAUACAUCUUAUUAAGAAACUGAAGGCAGAAUUAUUGAAAACUAAAGGAAAUGUAUUUUGGAUUUGGAGUAUAUUUUACCUUUCUACUUAUAAAAGGGUAUACAUUCAGUCUUCGUGUUUGAUAUUUAAUUCAAAUUAACAAAAUUUACCCCUAAUGUCAGCCAAAACAUUCAAUAAAAAUUGAAAAAAAAUACUCUUUUGUUAUCAUGUGAACUUUCCUAUAUUAAAUGAGGCAAUACUACACACUUCUACACACCAAUAUAAUUUUAGUUUAAAAACAAUGAGAUCGUAUUGGAUGUGCUGUUGUGUUGUGCACGUUUUUAGUUCCCAUCACUUAAUUCAUACAGAAUAAUAUCCUUUUCAACAGCUGAAUAGUAUUAACAACUUUCUUUGAAGGAGAGUUGCUUUUGUUUCAAGUUACUCGCUACUUUCAAAUAAUGGUAUUCCCCCCCC